CGUAAAAAAAGAUGUGCAAAACAAUAUAACCUCUUCACAGACUCAUUCCACUUUAUAUGCAAAGGAAAUGAUCCUAGAGCCCGAAAUCGUCCCAGAGUUAACACUCUGGAGGAUUUUGAAAGAGGGGAAGAAGAAGAAGAAGAAGAAAGAGAAGGAGAAGGAGAAGAAGGAGAAAGCCCUGUGUUUGCAAUGAUGUGAAGAGAGAACUCUGCUCUCUGAGCAUGGAAGGAAGUAAGAAGACCCUAUUUGUGGCUUCAGUAGAGGAAAAGAAAAAAGCCCCGCAAGGAAACUACCAACAGAUGACAGGAAUCUGGGCCAAAGAAUUGCAGGAAAUUGGCAAAGAUUAUACAACUAGUUGGUGGCAAAUUCAGUACUGGAACCUGAGACAUCUACUUCUCCGUUCAAUGCUUGUUCUACUUGAGCACCCACAGAAGGUGGACAUUUCUAUGACAAGCAAAAUCCAAUUCUAAAAGACCUUUCUCAUGGUGGACAAGAAGGGAGAGAAAACAUCCAUUCUCACCAAAAGACGAUUCCCAGAGGAGUCAUUACUGCAGAAACCAGACGGCAGCUCACAGGUAUCCCAUUCACUCUGUCUACAAUCUUUCUAACUCCAAAGCUUGUUAUUUGUGUGGAAACAACAAAAAUACAAAUGGCGGUAAAGCGUUCUAAGCCAUGUGUGGUCCUGGUCAGUACGUAUCCCAUGAGUUGAAACUGUAAUGAGCAGCUCAGCUCCUUUCGGUCAGUAUCUCUUCCUUGUGACAAGAAAAGGGGGGGAAAAAUGAACAAGUUACUGUUACACAUCACAACAUGGAUGAACCUCACAAUGAUGAAAAAUAAACAAGAGGCAAAACACAAAAUCAUGUAUACUGGAUCGUUCCAUUUGUAGAACGUUCAAAAACACACAAAACUCAAUCUAUUGUGUUGGGACAAAGUAUGAUGGUUUACCUUUGAUGAGGAGGAGGGAGGAUGGUGAUCAGAAGGAAGCAGGGAGAUGGCUUCAGGAGUGCUAGAAAGUUCUCUCCCUUGACCUGGGUGGUACAUACAGAAAUGUGUUCACUUUGUGACAAUUCAUUAAGCCAUUGAGUUGUGAUCUGUGUGCUUUUCCUCUGAGUGAUUUACUUCAAUUUAAGAUUUUUAAAAAUAAUAUCCCAUUGGGAAAGAUCAUUUUAAGAACUAUUAGAAUAGUAUUUUGUCUAAUUAAACCAUUUUGCCUAAUUAAAGAUAUAUAGAUAUGUAUUACAGAGGAAAAAUAGAAAAUUCAGAUAAGCUAAAGGAAAAAAUUACAUGAAGCUUGAGGGUAGGGCAACGGGAACGCUCAUACCCUGCUACAGGGAAUGUCAGGACUAUGGUUGUUCUUGGGUAACUGUUCGGCAUUAUCUACGAAAGUUAGAGAUAUGCCUCUCGUGACCCAGAUUCUACCCAUGAGUAGACACCCAACAGCAAUGUGUGCGUGUGAACACCAGAAGAAUAGCAACUCUCUAUUCGUGAUAGCCCCAAACUGAAAACAAGCCAAAUUGUCCAUCGACAGUCGAGUGGACAAAUAAAGUGUGUAUAUCCAGCCUUGGAAUAUCAAACAGCAUUGAAAAUUGGUGAACCAUAGUACCCUCAGCAACAGGGAUGAAACUGAGAAAUCUAAUGUUCAGGGAUAGAAGCCAGAGGCAAAAAACUCUGUGCUCCCAUUUACUUAAAGUUCAAAAAACAGUAAGAGACAUAGUGAUAUAACUUUAUAGUAUUUAGUGACAUAGACUUAGCUGGUAAAACUAAAGAAAAGACAAAAAAGAGAUUAUUAUAAAUGUAAGGGCAACAGUGACCUCUUGGGGAGAGGGUGGGUUGAGAUUGGAAAGAGAUGGAUAGAGGGCUUCCAGGCCAUGUUCUAUUUUUUUUUUUUAUUAAGAUUUUUGUUUAUUUAUG